rnacentral:rRNA from 1 species
AACGAACGCUGGCGGCAUGCCUAACACAUGCCAGUCGAACGAGACCUUCGGGUCUAGUGGCGCACGGGUGCGUAACGCGUGGGAACCUGCCCUUAGGUUCGGAAUAACUCCCCGAAAGGGGUGCUAAUACCGGAUAAUGUCUUCGGACCAAAGAUUUAUCGCCUUUGGAUGGGCCCGCGUUGGAUUAGCUAGUUGGUAGGGUAAAAGCCUACCAAGGCGACGAUCCAUAGCUGGUCUGAGAGGAUGAUCAGCCACACUGGGACUGAGACACGGCCCAGACUCCUACGGGAGGCAGCAGUGGGGAAUAUUGGACAAUGGGCGAAAGCCUGAUCCAGCAAUGCCGCGUGAGUGAUGAAGGCCUUAGGGUUGUAAAGCUCUUUUACCCGGGAUGAUAAUGACAGUACCGGGAGAAUAAGCUCCGGUUAACUCCGUG